rnacentral:lncRNA from 1 species
CACAGACUCUUGGGGGGGAUAUUUCAGAUUAGGUCAUGCCUGGGUAGAUCUGGGAGGAGAGAGCAGGGGUGAAAAAAAGGGCCACUUCAGGUACACUAGUUCAGACUAGAGGGAUGUGGGUGGAUGAGGCCCUAACAUGGAGACUGCAUAGCUGUAGUAGGAAGAGGGACCCAUCUCAGGUGGCUCCACAGGCAGUGCUGUUCCCACCCUCUCUUUGUCAGAUGCCAGCUGUCAUCACAAUGGAAAGGCAGCAGCCUGAACUGUCAUGGCCCAGAGGAAAUUCACAAGCAAUGCAGGUACCCUCCAACAAAGCUAACAACUUUUUGGUCACAAGCAAUGAGGAAUCCAAAGGAUCCAGGGUACUGGCCGUAUAA